GGUUCUAUGGUGUAAUGGUUAGCACUCUGGACUUUGAAUCCAGUGAUACGAGUUCAAUUCUCGGUAGAACCU